rnacentral:rRNA from 1 species
AAAGUUCCCUUCGGGGAGCAAGUAGAGUGGCGCACGGGUGAGUAACACGUAGGUAAUCUACCUUUGGAUGGGGAAUAACAACCGGAAACGGUUGCUAAUACCGCAUAAUGCAGCGGCACCUAAUGGUGACAGUUGUUAAAGCGGGGGAUCGAAAGACCUCGCGUCUGAAGAGGAGCCUGCGGCGGAUUAGCUAGUUGGUAAGGUAAUGGCUUACCAAGGCUAUGAUCCGUAACCGGCCUGAGAGGGCGGUCGGUCACACUGACACUGACAUACGGGUCAGACUCCUACGGGAGGCAGCAGUCGGGAAUUUUGGGCAAUGGGCGAAAGCCUGACCCAGCAACGCCGCGUGAAGGAUGAAAUCCCUCGGGAUGUAAACUUCGCAAGAACGGGAAGAAUAAGUUGGUGUGAAUAUCACCAGCGAUGACGGUACCGUUUGUAAGCUCCGGCUAACUCCGUGCCAGCAGCCGCGGUAAUACGGGGGGAGCAAGCGUUGUUCGGAUUUACUGGGCGUAAAGGGCGCGUAGGCGGCCACUGCAAGUCGGUUGUGAAAUCUCCGGGCUUAACCCGGAAAGGUCAAUCGAUACUGCAGGGCUAGAGUGCAGAAGGGGCAACUGGAAUUCUCGGUGUAGCGGUGAAAUGCGUAGAUAUCGAGAGGAACACCUGCGGCGAAGGCGGGUUGCUGGGCUGACACUGACGCUGAAGCGCGAAAGCUAGGGGAGCGAACGGGAUUAGAUACCCCGGUAGUCCUAGCCUUAAACGAUGAAUGCUUGGUGUCUGGGGUUUUAUAGUCCCCGGGUGCCGUCGCUAACGCUUUAAGCA